GACGAACGCUGGCGGCGUGCUUAACACAUGCAAGUCGAACGGAAAGGCCCUGCUUUUGUGGGGUGCUCGAGUGGCGAACGGGUGAGUAACACGUGAGUAACCUGCCCUUGACUUUGGGAUAACUUCAGGAAACUGGGGCUAAUACCGGAUAGGAGCUCCUGCUGCAUGGUGGGGGUUGGAAAGUUUCGGCGGUUGGGGAUGGACUCGCGGCUUAUCAGCUUGUUGGUGGGGUAGUGGCUUACCAAGGCUUUGACGGGUAGCCGGCCUGAGAGGGUGACCGGCCACAUUGGGACUGAGGUACGGCCCAGACUCCUACGGGAGACAGCAGUGGGGAAUAUUGCACAAUGAGCGGAAGCCUGAUGCAGCAACGCCGCGUGCGGGAUGACGGCCUUCGGGUUGUAAACCGCUUUCGCCUGUGACGAAGCGUGAGUGACGGUAAUGGGUAAAGAAGCACCGGCUAACUACGUG
rnacentral:rRNA from 1 species